rnacentral:rRNA from 1 species
GCGUUGCUCGGAAUCACUGGGCGUAAAGGGUGCGUAGGCGGGUUUUUAAGUCCGGGGUGAAAUCCUGGAGCUCAACUCCAGAACUGCCUUUGAUACUGAAGAUCUUGAGUCCGGGAGAGGUGAGUGGAACUGCGAGUGUAGAGGUGAAAUGCGUAGAUAUUCGCAAGAACACCAGUGGCGAAGGCGGCUCACUGGCCCGGUACUGACACUGAGGCACGAAAGCGUG